CUUUGCAUAGUCCUGGCACAUGACAGGUGUCCAGUGUUCCCUGCCCUGAAGAGGCCCCUUGUCUCGCCGAGGCUGGGGCACGGGUUUCCAAGAGAGAAGAACAGCAGUUAGACUCUGGAGAUUAGCACAUCUUGAAGAACAGCUGGAGUCUGAAGCAGGGCUGAACUCCUGAGUUGUCUUGGAGGUGACAGUGAGUCCCCUUUCCUUGGAGGAUAUAAACAAGUCCUUCUCCAAUGUUGGCAUGUUGGGAAAGGCUCACAUGGCCUAUGUCCCUCUGACCAGCCAUAAUCAGCAUCAGGAAGGCCAGGUCAACAGGGAGGUCUCUGUGUGGAAAGGCCAAAUCUGGAUGGCUCCCACUACAGAUCUCCUCCCCACCAUGCCACCCCUGGAGAUGGAGAAAAGAUCCACUUACAAUAAGGACGGCUGCGAUGGGGAUGGCCGUGUUCAUGAAAACUGCAGAGGAAGAACAAGGGAUGCAGUAUGAGGCCAGUCACAUUGACUGACUGUGAUUCAGACUUCUGAGCACAGAAUGCUAAAAGAGAUGGCAAACACAUCUUUCACUUAAAUGCCUUCCAUGGCUCCCUCCUGAAGCACAACACAGAUGGUCCUGCAGGAGCUAGUCUUGUCGCCUUUCUUCACCAAGUUCUGCAGGAGAAUGGGACACACCAUCAUCUCUCUCUGGAGGCCUUUGUGCCUGCUCACCUGGCUGACUCAUGGUCAACCUAAGGGAACCAGCAGUGGGUUCCACCUCUGAUAGGCCUUCCCUGACACCCACUGCCCCUGAGACUAGAUUGGAUACAACUUGUAACUCUUAUGGGUGAUAGAAUACCCUUUUCUGUUCUUGUCACUUAUGACACUAAGCUUCUCCAGUAGACUGUAAGCAAUGUGUGGGCUAGGACCAAAGUGUUCUCACCUAAUGCCUAGGCAGAGCCUAGCUCAUGGGAGAUGCUUAUGAAUAUUUGUUAAAUAAGUGAAAAAAACCAAAAGACCCAGGUCAGGCAAGUAACACCAAAAAAGGGGGGGCACAGAUAGAGGGGCAUUUGGAACUGACUCUGUGGCUCUGACCACAUGCACAGCUGCAGUUCAUGGACACAGCCAUCCACAAGACUGUGAAUGCCUGAACCAUGCCCACUCCUUCUAAUAUCCACUUCAUUCCAUGCCCAGGGCUUCCAUAAAGCCUAGCACAGAGAGAGGGCCCUGGAAUUGGUGCUGCAAAAAGGUCAAAAUGAACUGGAGGCCUAUUGGUUGGUUGACUGAUAGGACUAUGCAAAUGCCUUUGUCUCCUCUGCAAAGCCUGUUCUCAAAACAAAAACAAAAACAAAAAACAAAAAACAAACAAAAACAGCAACAAAAACCAGAAGCACCUAGAGUUCUGCUGCUUCUGUAAGGAAAUGAGGACUGAGCUGACUUCUAAAGAGACUAACCACAGCACCUGCCUUUAGCUUUCUCCCACUUUGUCUUCUACUCACUGAAAUCCUCUCUACCAUUCAAGGUGCAGCCCAAGCCUUUUCUAUGUUAAUCUCUGUGUAACCUCUUUGGCCACUUGGGCUUCUUUCUCUGUGCUCUGCCAUUUAUACUGGCAGAGUAUACUGGCUAAGAUCCUCCAUGAGUCAUUGCACCUUGCUGAGCUUCUGUCCUUUCUGUUAUACAAUGGGACAGUAGAGCCACACACCUCACAAGUCGUAAUGAGGAUUAAGUGCCUGUCAGACUUGCUAGGCAGCCAGCACAGAGCUGGCCACACAGUUUGAUACUUAUUGUCACAUGGUUCUAUGCAUGUGCCCUCUGACUUCUCAGAGAGCAUAAACCAAAAAGAAUGCAGAACAUAUCUUAUGGUUCCCUGCAUCAUCCUGGUGCUCAGCACAGGAUAUACACCUCGCUUAGCAUCCACCACGUCACUUACAUCUGUUUUCCUUCAAAAAGAAAUAUAGAUUCUGAUGUUGGGAAAACUGUGUCUCUUUGCUUUUCAGUCUUCUGCGCCACCAGGAUGCCACAUAUGGGCUGUCAUCGACAUUGACAGUGAGACCAUCAGAUAGAGUAUCAGAGGCAAUCUUGUCUGCCCUGCAGGCUUGAGUGCAUGGCCAGUCUGGAUGACCAGACUGAAAGCCCAGCAGGCAUCCUCGGCUUGGGCCCCAUCAGGAAACAUGACUCCCAGGUUCUUCUGUGUUGCCAGGACCCCAUGACUGGCGCCAGGGGUGAGAAUAAGAGAUUCCCAUUACCUCAGCCUAAUGACCUGUGUCUUGAUCCCAGUAACAGGAGGAGGAAGUCCAGGAAGAGGCAAAUGAGAACACACUGCAAACAUGUGCCCAUGACUGGGCAGUACCCCAACACACCCAUC